rnacentral:rRNA from 1 species
UACGUAGGGGGCAAGCGUUGUCCGGAUUUAUUGGGCGUAAAGCGCGCGUAGGCGGCAAGGUAUGUCGUGCGUGAAAUCUCCCGGCUUAACUGGGAGGGCCGUGCGAAACUGCCUGGCUUGAGGUCGGAAGGGGAAAGUGGAAUUCCGGGUGUAGUGGUGGAAUACGUAGAUAUCCGGAGGAACACCAGCGGCGAAGGCGGCUUUCUGGUCCGAUUCUGACGCUGAGGCGCGAAAGCGUGGGGAGCGAUCCGG